rnacentral:rRNA from 1 species
CAGGGAUUGCCCUAGUAACGGCGAGUGAAGCGGCAACAGCUCAAAUUUGAAAUCUGGCUCUUUCAGAGUCCGAGUUGUAAUUUGCAGAGGGCGCUUUGGCUUUGGCAGCGGUCCAAGUUCCUUGGAACAGGACGUCACAGAGGGUGAGAAUCCCGUACGUGGUCGCUAGCUAUUGCCGUGUAAAGCCCCUUCGACGAGUCGAGUUGUUUGGGAAUGCAGCUCUAAAUGGGAGGUAAAUUUCUUCUAAAGCUAAAUAUUGGCCAGAGACCGAUAGCGCACAAGUAGAGUGAUCGAAAGAUGAAAAGCACUUUGGAAAGAGAGUCAAACAGCACGUGAAAUUGUUGAAAGGGAAGCGCUUGCAGCCAGACUUGCUUGCAGUUGCUCAUCCGGGCUUUUGCCCGGUGCACUCUUCUGUAGGCAGGCCAGCAUCAGUUUGGGCGGUGGGAUAAAGGUCUCUGUCACGUACCUCUCUUCGGGGAGGCCUUAUAGGGGAGACGACAUACCACCAGCCUAGACUGAGGUCCGCGCAUCUGCUAGGAUGCUGGCGUAAUGGCUGUAAGCGGCCCGUCUUGAAACACGGACCAAGGAGUCUAACAUCUAUGCGAGUGUUUGGGUGUCAAGCCCGAGCGCGUAAUGAAAGUGAACGGAGGUGGGAACCCGCAAGGGUGCACCAUCGACCGAUCCUGAAGUUUACGGAAGGAUUUGAGUAAGAGCAUGGCUGUUGGGACCCGAAAGAUGGUGAACUAUGCUUGAAUAGGGUGAAGCCAGAGGAAACUCUGGUGGAGGCUCGCAGCGGUUCUGACGUGCAAAUCGAUCGUCAAAUUUGGGCAUA